GACGAACGCUGGCGGCGUGCUUAACACAUGCAAGUCGAACGGAAAGGCCCUGCUUUUGUGGGGUGCUCGAGUGGCGAACGGGUGAGUAACACGUGAGUAACCUGCCCUUGACUUUGGGAUAACUUCAGGAAACUGGGGCUAAUACCGGAUAGGAGCUCCUGCUGCAUAGUGGGGGUUGGAAAGUUUCGGCGGUUGGGGAUGGACUCGCGGCUUAUCAGCUUGUUGGUGGGGUAGUGGCUUACCAAGGCUUUGACGGGUAGCCGGCCUGAGAGGGUGACCGGCCACAUUGGGACUGCAAUACGGCCCAGACUCCUACGGGAGGCAGCAGUGGGGAAUAUUGCACAAUGGGCGGAAGCCUGAUGCAGCAACGCCGCGUGCGGGAUGACGGCCUUCGGGUUGUAAACCGCUUUCGCCUGUGACGAAGCGUGAGUGACGGUAAUGGGUAAAGAAGCACCGGCUAACUACGUG
rnacentral:rRNA from 1 species